AGAAUGAACGCUGGCGGCAUGCCUAACACAUGCAAGUCGAACGAAUGCCCUUCGGGGUGUUAGUGGCGCACGGGUGCGUAACGCGUGGGAAUCUGCCCCUUGGUACGGGAUAACAGCGGGAAACUGCUGCUAAUACCGUAUGAUAUCGCGAGAUCAAAGAUUUAUCGCCAAGGGAUGAGCCCGCGUAGGAUUAGCUAGUUGGUGGGGUAAAGCCUACCAAGGCGACGAUCCUUAGCUGGUCUGAGAGGAUGAUCAGCCACACUGGGACUGAGACACGGCCCAGACUCCUACGGGAGGCAGCAGUGGGGAAUAUUGGACAAUGGGCGAAAGCCUGAUCCAGCAAUGCCGCGUGAGUGAUGAAGGCCUUAGGGUUGUAAAGCUCUUUUACCCGGGAAGAUAAUGACUGUACCGGGAGAAUAAGCCCGGCUAACUCCGCGCCAGCAGCCGC
rnacentral:rRNA from 1 species